UGAGGAAUAUUGGUCAAUGGACGAGAGUCUGAACCAGCCAAGUCGCGUGCAGGAAGAAUGUCCUAUGGAUUGUAAACUGCUUUUGCAGGGGAAUAAAGUGCAUCACGUGUGAUGUUUUGUAUGUACUCUGCGAAUAAGGAUCGGCUAACUCCGUGCCAGCAGCCGCGGUAAUACGGAGGAUCCGAGCGUUAUCCGGAUUUAUUGGGUUUAAAGGGUGCGUAGGCGGGAUAAUAAGUCAGUGGUGAAAGUUUGCAGCUUAACUGUAAAAUUGCCGUUGAAACUGUUAUUCUUGAGAGUAGAUAAGGUAGGCGGAAUGUGUUGUGUAGCGGUGAAAUGCAUAGAUAUAACACAGAACCCCGAUUGCGAAGGCAGCUUACCGGGCUACAUCUGACGCUGAUGCACGAAAGCGUGGGGAUCAAACAGG
rnacentral:rRNA from 3 species